UUUGUCACCGAGCUGUCCCACCUGCGCAUCCUGCGCGUUCUGGAUUUGCUUUUCUUCCAACGCCUGCGCCGGGAGCAGGCUCCUGAGCCGGGAGGAGCUGGGGCUGCUCUUCCCCAACCUGCCGACCUCAUCGACGUGCACAGUUCUCUGUGGGACUCGAUGCGGCGGCUGCGGGAGGAGCAGGGCCCCAUCAUCGGCGACAUCGGGGACCUGAUGCUGGCCCGGUUCGAGGGCGCCGCCAAGGACGAGUUCCAGCGCGUGGCCGCCGCCUUCUGCUCCUCGCAGUCCAUCGCGCUGGAGCUGAUCCGCACCAAGCAGCGCAAGGAGAGCCGCUUCCAGCUCUUCA